CUCCUUCUAGCAGCCUCCCUUGCAGCAACGAGAACUGAAUUGGAACUGUUUGUUCCAUCUCCACCCUUCAAAAUGGAUGCAGGUGUAGCCUUACCCAAAUUUUUCAUGCCAUCAGAAAGAGAGAGAACAUUCAUUUGACUAGGGUUCUGGUGACCACCACAAACCACUGCUUCUUCAGCCAUUAGUUUAGCUUGCAAUGCAGCAUUCGAUGCAACCUUGGCAGCUGCAGC
rnacentral:misc_RNA from 1 species